UACGGGGGGGGCAAGCGUUGUUCGGAAUUACUGGGCGUAAAGGGCUCGUAGGUGGCCAACUAAGUCAGACGUGAAAUCCCUCGGCUUAACCGGGGAACUGCGUCUGAUACUGGAUGGCUUGAGUUCGGGAGAGGGAUGCGGAAUUCCAGGUGUAGCGGUGAAAUGCGUAGAUAUCUGGAGGAACACCGGUGGCGAAGGCGGCACUCUGGGCCGGAACUGACGCUGAGGAGCGAAAGCGUGGGGAGCAAACAGG
rnacentral:rRNA from 1 species